CCUACGGUGGGCAGCAGUGAGGAAUAUUGGUCAAUGGCCGUAAGGCUGAACCAGCCAAGUAGCGUGAAGGAAGAAGGAUCUAUGGUUUGUAAACUUCUUUUAUAGGGGAAUAAAGGUAUCCACGUGUGGAUAUUUGCAUGUACCCUAUGAAUAAGCAUCGGCUAACUCCGUGCCAGGAGCCGCGGUAAUACGGAGGCUGCGAGCGGUAUCCGGAUUUAUUGGGUUUAAAGGGUGCGUAGGUUGUUUUUUAAGUCAGCGGUAAAAGUUUGUGGCGCAACCAUAAAAUUGCCGUUGAAACUGGAAGACUUUAGUGUGUUUGAUGUAGGCGGAAUGCGUGGUGUAGCGGUGAAAUGCAUAGAUAUCACGCAGAACUCCGAUUGCGAAGGCAGCUUACUAAGCCAUAACUGACACUGAAGCACGAAAGCGUGGGGAUCAAACAGGAUUAGAUACCCCUUGUAGUC
rnacentral:rRNA from 1 species